GACGAACGCUGGCGGCGUGCUUAACACAUGCAAGUCGAACGAAGUGGCGAACGGGUGAGUAACGCGUAAUCAACCUGCCCUUCAGGGGGGGACAACAGUUGGAAACGACUGCUAAUACCGAAUACUGAAGGAGGGGAAUGCGUGUGAUGAGCUAGUGGGAGGGGGAACGGCCCACCAAGGCGAUGAACAGUAGCCGGUCUGAGAGGAGGAACGGCCACAUUGGGACUGGGACACGGCCCAGACUCCUACGGGAGGCAGCAGUGGGGAAUCUUCCGCAAUGGACGAAAGUCUGACGGAGCAACGCCGCGGGAGGGAUGACGGCCUUCGGGUUGUAAAGAUCUGUUAAUCGGGACGCGGUACCGGAAUAGAAAGCCACGGCUAACUACGUGCCAGCAGCCGCGGUAAUUC
rnacentral:rRNA from 1 species